UACAGAGGUCUCAAGCGUUGUUCGGAAUCACUGGGCGUAAAGGGUGCGUAGGUGGCGUGGUAAGUCAGAUGUGAAAGCCCGGGGCUCAACCUCGGAACUGCAUCCGAUACUGCCAUGCUAGAGAACUGAAGAGGAGUGUAGAAUUCUCGGUGUAGCAGUGAAAUGCGUAGAUAUCGAGAGGAAUACCAACGGCGAAGGCAGCACUCUGGGCAGUUUCUGACACUGAGGCACGAAGGCUAGGGGAGCAAACGGGAUUAGAAACCCCAGUAGUCC
rnacentral:rRNA from 1 species